rnacentral:rRNA from 1 species
AUACGGAAGGUCCUGGCGUUAUCCGGAUUUAUUGGGUUUAAAGGGAGCGCAGGCCGGUGUGUAAGCGUGACGUCAAAUACAGCCGCUCAACGGUUGUCCGCGUCGCGAACUGCACGCCUUGAGUACGCUGCAAGUGGGCGGAAUUCGUGGUGUAGCGGUGAAAUGCUUAGAUAUCACGAAGAACUCCGAUUGCGAAGGCAGCCCGCUGUCGCGUGACUGACGCUGAGGCUCGAAGGUGCGGGUAUCGAACAGGAUUAGAUACCCUGGUAGUCCGCACUGUAAACGAUGAUGACUAACCGCCGGGCGGAAUGACGUCCGGCAGCCAAGCGAAAGCGAUAAGUCAUCCACCUGGGGAGUACGGCCGCAAGGCUGAAACUCAAAGGAAUUGACGGGG